UAGGGAAUAUUGCAAAAUGGGCGAAAGCCCGAUGCAGCAACGCCGCGUGCGCGAUGAAGGCCUUCGGGUCGUAAAGCGCUUUUCAAAGGGACGAGGAAGGACGGUACCUUUGGAAUAAGUCUCGGCUAACUACGUGCCAGCAGCCGCGGUAAAACGUAGGAGGCGAGCGUUAUCCGGAUUUACUGGGUGUAAAGCGCGUGCAGGCGGUUUGGAAAGUUGGAUGUGAAAGCUCCUGGCUUAACUAGGAGAGGUCGUUCAAAACUUCCAGACUAGAGUGCAGUAGAGGGAGGUGGAAUUCCGGGUGUAGUGGUGAAAUGCGUAGAUAUCCGGAGGAACACCAGUGGCGAAAGCGGCCUCCUGGACUGCAACUGACGCUCAGACGCGAAAGCUAGGGUAGCAAACGGG
rnacentral:rRNA from 1 species